rnacentral:rRNA from 1 species
GGAGUUAGCCGGUGCUUCUUCUGUGAGUGAUGUCCUUCCUGCCGGCUAUUAACCCGCAGGCCUUCUUCCUCACUGAAAGUGCUUUACAACCCGAAGGCCUUCUUCACACACGCGGCAUGGCUGGAUCAGGGUUGCCCCCAUUGUCCAAUAUUCCCCACUGCUGCCUCCCGUAGGAGUCUGGGCCGUGUCUCAGUCCCAGUGUGGCUGAUCAUCCUCUCAGACCAGCUACGGAUCGUCGCCUUGGUGAGCCGUUACCUCACCAACCAGCUAAUCCGACAUAGGCUCAUCCGAUAGCGCGAGGCCCGAAGGUCCCCCGCUUUCCCCCGUAGGGCGUAUGCGGUAUUAGCCUGGGUUUCCCCAGGUUAUCCCCCACUACCGGGCAGAUUCCUAUGCAUUACUCACCCGUCCGCCGCUCGCCACCAGGGAGCAAGCUCCCCGUGCUGCCGCUCGACUUGCAUGUGUUAGGCCUGCCGCCACGCGUUCAAUCUGAGCCAGAAUACAAACUACUGA